rnacentral:snRNA from 1 species
UUCGGACAAAGAAAGAACCCUUG